ensembl:scaRNA
GGUCGGUGAUGUGAUGUAAAAGGUCUGAAACUCAGGUUCCCCUCCGUCGGCCAUAUUUGCUCCCAGCAGCCCCGGCGGCUCUGAGCUCCCAUCAUGCUCUAGUGGUGCAGUGGUGGUCCCAGCCGCUGCUGACAGAAAGACAAACAGGAAGUGACAUCACAGCAGGAGUCUGUACAGAGAGCCUACAGGCUCCGUGUGAUGAUGACUCACAUCCAACAGAACCAAUCGGCAUGGAGCGUGAGGCUGAGGGGGCGGGGCCUGAGAGAUGAUCUCACUCCUCUACUGAGACC